GAGAAGGGGCGGGGCCGAAGCCGGUUGCCAGGGUGUCGCGGAGCGGCUGGGAAGGAGGGGCUGGGAAUCUUGGAGCCCCUUGGCCCGCGGGGAAAGCGGGUGACCCGCCCUGCAAGUGGGAUGCCCCCUUCGGCCUUCUGGAGCGCAGAGCAAUGCACUCUGAAGCCGGAGGGUAGAAAGUGCUGGAAUGCGCGCCCGGGCCCAGGCUGUCGCGAGCCUUCAGCAAGCCAGUGCACACAGAGAGGGCUGCCCAGAGAUCCCGGUCAGCGCUCGCAGUUCGAGGUGGAACAUGGAGGCUGUCUCCCCGGCAAGGGUGCCCACUGCAAGCACAGGCGUGAGAAAUGGCCCAGAAAAGAGUGGUCAGGGCAAUGUGUUCUUGGCACGCCCAGCAAGACCUGCCAGAGGGACCUACAGACGAGUGUCUCCCAGCUAUCUUACCAGCGGGGACCUUGAGGUCCAAGUAUCCAGUCCGGUUAGAAAUGGCCGCGGAUCCAACAGGUGCUGGUGAGUGGGAGAAUACCCCUGAGGGAGGAAGAACAGAGGCCGGGAGGGAGCUGAGUGGAUGUAGAUGAGAAAUACCUGGACAGCUGCAAGCUGUAGUCAGUGAUGGGCAACUGGAACCAGAGAUUCCAGAGAGAGGGAGGGAGAAAGAGGGAGG
rnacentral:lncRNA from 1 species